rnacentral:misc_RNA from 1 species
UUGACUUAUUUGUUUUGUUACUCAGAGUAGUAUUAAAAUACAGAAGAGUUGGGUACCUCCGGCGGGCGCCUGUGAAGGCUACAGCCCCUCCCAGGGGCUGCCCGCCGAAGCAUGUAAUUCUUGGGUAAAGUUCACAAUGGUUGGGAGUUUUGCAACUCAGUAAUGAUCCCUCCGCUGGUUCACCAACGGAGA